rnacentral:lncRNA from 1 species
GAAAUGCCAAUGACAACAAUAACUAGUGGCACUGGCUGCACAUGAAUUCAUAUAUUCUGGAACCGAGUUUGCUGGCUGUACAUACUGAACAACCGAUGAUUGCAAAAUUUUUGAAUUAAUUUCUCCAAGAGUUAUGUGAUACUCUAGGUAUCCCUUGUCCAGCAAUAAUUGAAAGGGCUUGAUUGACAGAAAUUUUGCACACCAGGGUAGAAAUAGGAUCACCAGGCAAGAGUUAUCAAUUGACAGCUGAACACUUGAAGUAUCUUGAGCAGACAAGUUCUUUUCUUUUCUUGGUGGCGCUUUAGACAUGAUAUCCAGAACUUCUAUAACAUCUUUAAAGAAGAUGUCCACUUUCCUGGAACAUGCAGAUUGGUAUCUGGGUCAGAUAGAAGCAGAGGGCACUUCUAAAGAGAUGAGGAAUUCAAAUCACCAAUAAACUCACAACUGUCAGAUAUUUUAUCAGAUUUGCUAUCAGCCACAACAACUGUAUUGUUGCUAUCAAUG